GCUGCAUGAGCAAGCAGCUGGUGGUGUGUCACCAAAUAUGGCUCUGUUCCUGAAUUCCCCCCAGUGCAAUUUAGAUUUUGCCAAGCAGAACAUCGACCAGGUGCUAACUGCCCUGUUACAUAACCACCAUCGCUGAAGGAAUGUGGCUCAUUUAGUGUGAUCCAGUGCUUUACCCGAUCACCAAAUUCCUUGAAGCAAAGUUCCGCAUAGUCCCGAAAAUCAU